rnacentral:rRNA from 1 species
CGCGGCCUAUCAGCUUGUUGGUGAGGUAACGGCUCACCAAGGCAUCGACGGGUAGCUGGUCUGAGAGGACGAUCAGCCACACUGGGACUGAGACACGGCCCAGACUCCUACGGGAGGCAGCAGUAGGGAAUCUUGCGCAAUGGGGGCAACCCUGACGCAGCAACGCCGCGUGUGGGACGACGGCUUUCGGGUUGUAAACCACUUUCAGUGAUGACGAAAAUGACGGUAAUCACAGAAGAAGGUCCGGCCAACUACGUACCAGCAGCCGCGGUAACACGUAGGGACCGAGCGUUGUCCGGAUUUAUUGGGCGUAAAGAGCUCGUAGGCGGUUCUGUAAGUCGGAUGUGAAAACUCAGGGCUCAACCCUGAGACGCCAUCUGAUACUGCAGUGACUAGAGUCCGGUAGAGGAAGAUGGAAUUCCUGGUGUAGCGGUGGAAUGCGCAGAUAUCAGGAGGAACACCAACGGCGAAGGCAGUCUUCUGGGCCGGUACUGACGCUGAGGAGCGAAAGCAUGGGGAGCAAACAGGAUUAGAUACCCUGGUAGUCCAUGCCGUAAACGUUGGGCACUAGGUAUGGGAUCAUAUCAACGGAUUCCGUGCCGUAGCUAACGCAUUAAGUGCCCCGCCUGGGGAGUACGG